rnacentral:rRNA from 1 species
UACAGAGGGGGCAAGCGUUGUUCGGAAUUACUGGGCGUAAAGGGCGCGUAGGCGGCCUUGUAAGUCCUGUGUGAAAUCCCCCGGCUCAACUGGGGAACUGCACAGGAGACUGCUUGGCUUGAGUUCGGGAGAGGGAAGCGGAAUUCCGGGUGUAGCGGUGAAAUGCGUAGAUAUCCGGAGGAACACCGGUGGCGAAGGCGGCUUCCUGGACCGACACUGACGCUGAGGCGCGAAAGCCAGGGGAGCAAACGGG